rnacentral:SRP_RNA from 21 species
GGAGCAACAUCUGUGCGUGAAGCGGGUCAGGGGAGGAAUCCAGCAGCCCUAAGCGAUUUCAGGUGUGUGCUCUUUUU